UAAUAGGGGUGUUAAAAUUCCACCAGAAGGUCACCUAGGCAUGAUGAGGGUCCAAGAGAUUAAAAAGCUACACAAUGGGCUAUCUACACUCUACUCACCAAGGAGAAUCAAACCCAAGAUAUUAGCAUUAUAGGUAUAACUGCAGAAGCUGGUCCCACAGCUUAUAAAAAUGGUGAGGACAUAAAUAA